rnacentral:rRNA from 1 species
GAGCCUUGAUGUGUAGGAUAGGUGGGAGGCUUUGAAGCGUGGACGCCAGUCUGCGUGGAGCCAACCUUGAAAUACCACCCUUUAAUGUUUGAUGUUCUAACGUUGGCCCCUUACCGGGGUUGCGGACAGUGUCUGGUGGGUAGUUUGACUGGGGCGGUCUCCUCCCAAAGCGUAACGGAGGAGCACGAAGGUUAGCUAAUCCUGGUCGGACAUCAGGAGGUUA